GGCAGCCCAGCUAAUAAAACAUAUCCCACAUAAAUGGAGCUGCUUUGGGGAUAGUAGCUCCCCUCCCCCUCCCGUUGUUGAAGACCCACAUGAAGACCAAGCCACACAUCAGCCACACAUGCUGGAGGAAGUGGGGUUAGGUCCAGCCCGUGUAUACUCUUUGGUUGGGGGUUCAGUCUCUGAGAGCCCCAAGGGUCCUGGUUAGUUGGUCUUCCUGUGGAGUUCCUAUCCCCUUCAGGACUGCAAUCUUUCCUCCUAUUCUUCCAUAAGAGGCCCCUCGCUCCAUCCACUAUUUGGCUGUGGGUGUCUGCUUCGGUUUGAAUCAUCUCCUGGGUGGAGCCUACAGAGAGAACCUUGAGACUGCACAACUGAUUGGACUACAGAGUGCUUUUUACAGCACGGUAUGGAAAGGCUCAAGCAGUUACGUCUGGAUUGCAACUCAGAUGAUAUGGGUUUUCCAAGUGGCAAAGCAUUUGCUCGGAUCAGAAGCUGUCAGACAGGAGACGCCCCUCCUACCGCCACACUUCUGAGUCACUC
rnacentral:lncRNA from 1 species